GACGAACGCUGGCGGCGUGCUUAACACAUGCAAGUCGAACGGAAAGGCCCUGCUUUUGUGGGGUGCUCGAGUGGCGAACGGGUGAGUAACACGUGAGUAACCUGCCCUUGACUUUGGGAUAACUUCAGGAAACUGGGGCUAAUACCGGAUAGGAGCUCCUGCUGCAUGGUGGGGGCUGGAAAGUUUCGGCGGUUGGGGAUGGACUCGCGGCUUAUCAGCUUGUUGGUGGGGUAGUGGCUUACCAAGGCUUUGACGGGUAGCCGGCCUGGGAGGGUGACCGGCCACAUUGGGACUGAGAUACGGCCCAGACUCCUACGGGAGGCAGCAGUGGGGAAUAUUGCACAAUGGGCGGAAGCCUGAUGCAGCAACGCCGCGUGCGGGAUGACGGCCUUCGGUUUGUAAACCGCUUUCGCCUGUGACGAAGCGUGAGUGACGGUAAUGGGUAAAGAAGCACCGGCUAACUACGUG
rnacentral:rRNA from 1 species